rfam:Dyadobacter fermentans DSM 18053, complete genome.
GGGGGUGACCGGUUUUGACAGCGGGCUGAGGGCUUGUGUGUAAGCAUGUCGGGAGUUGAGAGUACCUCCCGGAAAUAAUAUUCUCAAACAAUAACUGGCGAAUCUACUUACGCCAUGGCUGCCUAAUCCGGAGGAUUAAGCAAAUGCCAUCAUCUCUCCACCUCACGUGCUGCCGGGUGGGUUCAGAGGUGUCGAACCGCAGCGCUGGUUGGUAUAUUGAUGCGUAAAACCAACGAGACCCUAGUAUCUAAGGCUAUGACGCAGGUCCGCCGGGAACCUUGUCAGGCUCGAAAACCGAAUCACGGAUAAGCAUGUAGAAGGCGCAGGUUUUCCCUGUUCUGGACGAGGGUUCGACUCCCUCCAUCUCCACCA